CUCCACUUCCCUCUCCCGCACAUCUCUCUCCCAUCCUCCCCGUCCGCCGCCGCCACACCAUCGCCGCCGCCUACCCUCGGCGGGCGGUCCACCCCCUCCUCCUUCUCCGCCGUGGCGCAGUGCUCCGCGGCAACCUCUCGCUGGUCUGGUCCGGCUUGAGCCCCUUCGCGCUGACCCCGACCCCCCUUUCUUCCAAGCUGGCGCGGCCACCAUCGACGGUGAGGGCCGCAGCAGGAGCAGGAGCACGGCGGGAAGGAGGAGAACGACCAGGGGAGGUCGAGCCGCCAUCCGUCGCGCCGGCCGUCAACACCUCCCGUUCGACCACACAGCGGGAGCACCGGACCGUUGUCCUUGUGUUCGUGCUCCUCCAGGAAGAAGACGACCCAAGGGGUUCUCCUCCUCAAGGUGUCAACCGUCCUCGAUCUACUGCUCCUCCUAGGUCUUUUGCGAUGGCUUCCUCGCGUGUCGGCACUGGUUGAGAUGCUUAUUCGUCCAUUUUCACCGGUGCCUCCUUCGAUCUGCCCCUCUCGCUUGUCCAUUCAUGGAUUUAUAGGUUUUGCAGAUGGUAGCCUUGCAGGCUGUGCACCGGGCUUAUCUGAAAGUGUACACGUCUUGCUAGCUCCCCACUGGGUUUCUAGGGUUAAACCCAUAGAUGAAAAUAGACGGUCACGAUAGAAGGCAGGGCACAUCAAACAGCCGAAACUCCCCACAGUAGUCCUGCUGCUUGCAUUGUGCUUGGGUUCAAAUAUUUCGCCUGGAAGUUUUCGUGCAGCUAUAGAAUUAUUUAGAGUGUUCUCCGGCUGAAAUUAGGCUGCUCCUGCCAUGUCUAUCAUUGAAAUGCCUCCUUCCAUGAUAAAGCAGCCUACUCUUAGGUACAAAUCUGGGUGUAGAUUCUGCCUCACCUUUCUAGCCGGCAGUGGUUCGGUUUGCUGCAGGUUCUCUCAGUGUUCAGGGCAGGGCAGACAACAUGUGUCGUCAACCGUCGACAAUUCAGCUGUCUCCAAAUGAGCAACUUGCUAAUGAAGAAACCUUCAAGUUGCACUGCAAGCCAGUUGAGCUCUGCAUUGUUAUCCGAAAACGAGCCAUUGAUAAUCCAGCUUUUCUACAAAGAUGCCUCCGUUACAUGAUACAGGCAAGCCACAAAAAGAGGAAUACAAGGGUGGGGUGUCUUGACUGCUGCUUGCCGGUUCUUUCCUCAGCAAGCGGGCGACUCGAUGUGAUCAUGGGCAAUGGCCACAGUUGGCCGUCGGCCGUGCUCACCCCUGCUUCAUCCACCUACUCCUCGAGAACUCCACUGGCCUCCCGUGUGUGCACGGUCGAAGGCUGGUGGCCCAGCUCGCCGGCGGGUCGGUGAAACGCCACAACCCCGACGCUUUGCUGAGUUUGGCAUCGACUACAAACCCGCUAUGGUGAGCUCCUCUUCACCUCUGGAUUACGCCUCUGGUUGCUCUGAGUCGUGACCGUCGAGCCCUGGCUAUGCCAUGCUUGAUUCCUAGCUGAUCAUCUUGUGGAUGACUGAGUGUGGAUAGUUUUUGUGGUGGUGGUCACCAGGCUACUGGUUUGUUGUUGGUUAUGGGGAUGUUAUAGGUGUAGCAUGUGGCUUAUCAUGGCCUCUGUUGGUUAAUUGGCUUGGAAACUAUGCCCUGGUGGUUGCAAAAUUGUAGUGGCUAGCUGGAACACCUAAUUCCGCCUUUGCAAUGAUAAACACCUUGCUUGUAGUAUUUUGUGAUGUUCGGCUGUCCGGUAAUGUGCUACAUAGUCUUCGGUCCCUUGCUAUGUAACCAACUUGCUCUAAUUAUUAAUAAUGGUAUUUUGACUUGUGGGAUGCAUUCAUUUCUAUAUAAAUGACUUGCUGUAAUCUUGAUCCAUCAAGAACUUUGAUGGAUUUUAUUGAACCAUAUCCUACUUUGUACUGCACUUUGAUGAUUUGUAUUGGUUACAUCCUCCCUUGAUAAAUACCAAACGCUGGAUUAUUGGAUCACUCCUUUAGAUAUAUUGUUGUAAUGACUAAAUGUGUCAUGUUUGUCAUACUUUUGGUAUAUACGUUAUCUUGCCCUUUGGCAAUGCCCUGUUUUCUUUAUGUAAACUUACUGUAUUGGUCUAAUCCAUUAUGAGCAAUCACUUUAAUUCCCUCUGUUAACGAACACACUGAAAUUGAUUCUGUCUUAUAGUCUCAUGCCGAUGUUGAUCACCAUUGUGUCUUGCUCCUAUCACAAUUGAAUUUUCUUCUUCACUCUAUUGUUAUGUUGUAUGAAUGUGUAUGCUAAACCUGAAUUACUACUGACUUAGCAUUACUUGCCUGACCUAACGUUGGGACCGGCACCCUCGCGCCUUGGCGCGAUCCCGGAACAAGCUACAUUCUUCAGUUCUAUUUUCCCUAUAUUUUAGUGUUGACCUAGAUUCAUUUUCAUUCUUCAGUUCUAUUCCUAGAAAGUUUAUCAGUGUGGAGCUAAUAAAAAAUUUCCGACUAGGAUGUUUCAUGGUAAAGGUUCCCCAAACAAGUAUGGUCUAUUGAACUAUUUGUGUUUAGUAUAUAUGUUCUUAGGUCAUCCAAAGCCAGAAAUAAAAAAUUCAGUGUGAUCUAUUUUCUGGUUUUUUGUUGGUAUGCACUAAAAAUGUGACCCAGUGUGGAUGCCUAUGGUACUGUUUUUUAUUGCCAUGGAAGGUAAUUGUGAUUUUUGUACUUUGAAAGCAUGUUUCUCCUUUGGCAGCAGUUGCUCAGAGUCUCUUUAUUUCCAUCUGUUUUCUGAAGUUAGUCUCGAAAAGACGAGAUGCCUAUUCAUAUUCAUAUAUUCAAAUGGUAUCUCAUCUGUUCAAAUUUGUUUUUUCAAUAUUGUUUGUCAUGCUUAAUCUGUGUUGUUCUGGAUGCAUACUUACACCUUGGACCUGCUUGGCAGCAAAAAGAUGAACCAAACCCAAUGUGAUUCACCAUGUAGGCUUUUUUGGUGGAGCAGAAUGACGAAGCUUCUGAGAAUCAGAGGAACGUAUUCGAUCAUUCUCCUCCCCUUUCUAAUUCUUUUCCAAGUUGAGAUAGGCUCCCCGUCCUAUAAUAUGUUAGAAGACACAAAUGUGGUGCUUGACUUUUGUAAGUUUUCUUACUUUCCAAAAUAUAUAUUUACCUCUAUAUUGAUGUACGUUAAAUCUAAAUAACAUUGUUCAAAAAACAGGCAUAGCUGUUGCUAUUAAAUCUGAAAGCUGAGACGUAAUCUUGAUGGCUAGCUUUCAAGACCUUUAAAUAUUCAUAAUACUUCAGGCAAACUGGAUUAUUUAGUUAGAUGAGUGCUUUAUUUUAUAUUGAAAAAAUUAUUAUCUAUAGCCAAUCUUCCAUACAACAAAGGACAUAUAAAUAGAAAUCUGUAAAACUCAAGUACUCUACAUAGCAAGCUUUAUUUUUGCAUAAGCUGUGACAUUAAUUAUAACCUAACUAGCAUAUCUACCAUGAUAUAUAUUGUGCAAUAUUAGACAUGGUCUAGAGAAAUAUGGGGAAGUUUUAUGCUAUAUAUGUGACAUAGUUAGGAAAUGAUUAAUGUUAGGCAUCAUUCGAUAAUAAGAAAUAUAUAUACAUGCCAUUACAUUUAUUACAUAAUGAAAAUGUUGUUUGUGCCUGAAGCUUCAAAAUAGGUUACAUAUAACUUCUAAUCUGCGCCCGUGCGGAUGAGAACAUAUGCAUUCUUCUUGCAGAUUCUACUCGAGUCCACAUUUCUGUAGUUUUAUAGGUAUUGAACUAAUUUAUCUCUACAUAAGUUUCUGUCUUUAUGCCAUCACAGAAAGAUAUUAAUAUAUUAAUGGCAAUUAUGAAUGAACAUCAUUUGUGCUUAUGGAUGAUAUAUAAAUAAGUCAUGUUUCAUUUUGACAAGAGUAUUGAUUAAACUCAAUUGGGCCAUAGUUUCCUAUGUGCAAAUGGACAUGCUUUUUUAGAACAAUAUAUAUGACCAUGCUUCUGGUAUUGAACUAAUUCAAUUCUUCUAUUAUUUCCUUACCAGAACUGGAUAACUAGAGUACUGGAAUUUUGAAUUCUUCUGAGUUCUAUCAUAUGAAUACGAGGUUCUGGAUUGGUCACUACAUAGAGCAUAUAUAGAAACAGGAAUUCUAUCAUUUUUUAAUCCAUGCACUAUUUCGUAAUUCAGUGGACAUAUUUUAAAACUCAAGAAGUUUUCAAACUCCAUGAUUUUUAAAACAAGAUUUAAAAAAUGCAAAAUACUUACUGAAGUCAUGAACAUUUCUGCGAAUCCGGGAAUAUUGGUUCAAUUUGUGAACUUUUUUUCAAAAUCAUGAACACAUUUUGUAUUUCGUGACCAUUUUUUAAACUGCAAAAAAUUGAAUUCAUGAACAUAUUAUAAUUCACAACUUUUUUGAAUUUCUGAAUAUUUUUAAAAUUUUGUGAACAUUGUUUUUAGUUUGUGUGAUUGUUUUUUAAUUCGUGAACAUUUUUUUAUUUCAUCAAUAUUUUCAAAAUGAACAAGAAAAACCAUAUCUAGGUUUUUCUUGAGCCAUGAGACUAGGAGCAAAAAAAGAGCAUGAAAAAAAGAGAGAAUAAGGAGCAAGCUAGCGAGCAUGGCAUGUGAGAGAGGGAGCGCAAGCGGACCGUGACCCAGAAGGAUCAUGUGUAUGCUGUGGCAAUAUUCUGGCGCAACAUGCAUGGAAUAGGAGCAUCAUGUAGUGUUGUGUAUCCAUCGACUGGGCCUAGUUAUAAAUUUGAAAUUUUGCAGAAAAGUUGGGCAUGGCCUAUUCGUCCCUAAGAUAGCUUCGUCGAUGGCAAUGAGUCUAAGCACAACAUGGGGGAGACGGAGAGAGGGCGACAUUGCUAGCAUCUGUCGGAACAUGCGGUACACUACUCUAGCAUUAAAUAACAAAUUUCUACCGCGCACCGAAAAUCAUGCUGUAGGAAAUAGAUCACGGGAUCGGUUUUACCACUAGAGGCGUAGUCACCGCAACGGAAGUAGAGUUGGUGAUGCGUGUAGUCGAUCUCCCGAGGCAUCUCCUCCUCGCGUCGUCGAUCUCUCCCGAGCAGCGAAGACCUGUGAACGGUGAUCUCCCGCGAACGACAUCUCGCGGUUCCCUCGAACGGUUCCUCCAAGCACCAUAGAUGCAAUGCUUCCAAGGUAUUGAUACGUCUCCAACGUAUCUAUAAUUUUUUAUUGUUCCAUGCUGUUAUAUUAUCAUUCUUGGAUGUUCUAUAAUCAUUUUAUAGUCAUUUUAUAUCAUUUUUUGGUACUAACCUAUUGACAUAGUGCCAAGUGCCAGUUGUUCUU